ensembl:lncRNA novel transcript
CGAGAGGCGUCGGGAUCGCGGGCGCCGGCUGAGCCAGCGGCUGCUGGGAGGCUGUGUGCGCACGCCUGCGGGGCGAGGAGGCCGGGCCCUGCGCCUCAGGCCUGAGAACUGGGAGGAAGCUGGAGAAAAGAUGCCCUCUGAAUAUUUGUGUUUGGCUGCCCAGGCUCGCCUUGACUCCAAAUGGUUGAAAACAGAUAUACAGAUGGAGUCUUGCUCUGUUGCCCAGGCUAGAGUGCAGUGGUGCCAUCUCGGCUUACCGCAAGCUCCGCCUCCCGGGUUCAUGCCAUUGUCCUGCCUCAGCGUCCCGAGUACCUGGAACUAUAGGUGUCCACCAUCAUACCUGGCCAAUUUUUUGUAUUUUCAGUAGAGACGGGGUUUCACUGUGUCAGCCAAGAUGGUCUCCAUCUUCUGACCUCGUGAUCCACCGGCCUUGGCCUCUUAGAGUGCUGGGAUUACAGGCAUAAGCCACCACUCCCGGCCGAUAUAUUGGUUUGUUUAUGAAAAUUAUACUGGAUCUGUUACAGAUGAUAGUGUCAAACCAAGUGGAACAAAGAAAGAAGAUCUGGAUGACAAAGAGAAAAAAGAUGAAACUCCUGCACCUGUAUAUAGGGCCAAGUCAAUUCUGGAGAGCUGGGUAUGGGAGUAAGCAACCAGGGAUGUUCACAGAACGCCAGGCACCAAAAGGCCAGAAGCAUGCCCCUGCAGGACCAGCACUUGGCUCUGGCCAUCCUGCUGGAGCUGGCUGUGCAGAGAGGCACGCUGAGCCAAAUGUUGUCUGCCAUCCUGUUGUUGCUUCAGCUGUGGGACAGCAGGGCACAGGAAACUGACAAUGAGCGUUCUGCCCAGGGCACCAGCACCUUGCUUUUGCCCUUGCUGCAAACGUUCCAGAGCAUCAUUUGUGCUUUUGUCUGGCCCUCUGAGCCCCAGUGAGUUUCCUGAGGUACCUCACCCUCCACAAGACAACGAGCUUGCCAUUGAUCUGCAACAAACGGCGGUUGUUGUCAUGGCCCAUUUAGAAGAUCUGGCUACACCCUGUAGAUGCCUCUGCCGUGUAGCUGUCCGACGUCUCAUAAGGUCAGAACUGUAGAAAUAAUGAGGAAGUGACACUUAUAUGCAAAGCUGAUUUGGAGAACCAUAAUAAAGAUGGAGGCUUCUGGAUUGUGAUUGAUGAGAAAGUGUAUGAUAUAAAGGACUUCCAGACACAGUCGUUAACAGGAAAUAGUAUUCUUGCUCAGUUUGCAGGGGAAAACCCAGUGGUAGCUUUGGAAGCUGCUUUCGAGUUUGAAGUCACCCGGGAAUCCAUGCACGCAUUUUGUGUUGGCCAAUAUUUGGAGCCUGACCAAGAAGUUGUCACCAUACCAGAUCCGGGAAGUCUCUCUUCACCUCUGAUAGACACAGAGAGGAAUCUGGGCCUGCUUCUCGGAUUACACACUUCCUAUUUAGCAAUGAGCACACCGCUGUCUCCUGUCGAGAUUGAAUGUGCCAAAUGGCUUCAGUCAUCCAUCUUCUCUGGAGGCUGCAGACCAGCCAGAUCCACUACAGCUACAACGAGGAGAAAGAUGAGGACCACUGCAGCUCCCAGUGGGCACACCUGCCAGCAAAUCACCACUGCUCCCACAGAUGGGCCCUGGGGGACCAUUCUCAGGCAUUUCUGCAAGUCAUUGCAGACAAUAACAUUCAGGAUCACAACGUGAAGGGCUUUUUGUGUCAAAUAGAAAGGUACUGUAGGCAGUGCCAUUUGACCACACCGAUCAUGUUUCCCCCCGAGCACCCCGUGGAAGAGGUCGGUCGCUUGCUGUUAUGUUGCUUCUUAAAACAUGAAGAUUUAGGUCAUGUGGCAUUAUCUUUAGUUCAUGCAGGUGCACUUGAUAUUGAGCAAAUAAAGCACAGAACGUUGCCUAAGUCAGUGGUGGAUGUUUGUAGAGUUGUCUACCAAGCAAAAUGUUCGCUCAUUAAGACUCAUCAAGAACAGGGCCGUUCUUACAAGG